rnacentral:lncRNA from 1 species
CUGUCAUUCAUGUCUCUAUGGUGAUGGAUUGUGUUACUUCUCCAACUGUGGCCCAGAAUCAACCCUGACUUCCUGAAGUUGAUUUUGUCAUUUUACUGAUAAAGCCCAGAAGGACGCAUGAAGGCAGUGACAUUCCCGUGGUAAUCCCCAUUGAUCCCACGUGUGAAACUCUCUCAGUAACCACACGGCGUUAACGGACUCUCUGAGGAAGUCAACAGGAAGCAAUGUGUUGCUGUCAUGAUAUUAAAUAUUUCAAUUAUGAAGACAGCAAAAUUUUAAAUCACUGUGAAGAACAACUGUGGAAUGUGUUAAAGCUCUUCUGCAUGUCCCCUGGCCCCACUGACUAAUUCUUAAAUAAACAAAUGUGCUUCUUUAUUUUCUCCCCAUCCCAUAAUAAAAUUCAUUAUUUAGCCUCGAUAAGUACAUUAUUCAACCAUCAUCAGAGAAGAUUAUUUCCUCCAGCAUGUGGAAAUAAAGAGGCCAACAGCCAGACAUUUUGUGCAGAGAGAGAAAGAGGCAGAGACACAGAGACACAGAGAGAGACAGAGAGAGAGACAGAGGAGAGACCUUGGACAGCACAGCUCUAAAUGGGAUGCCUCCAUCAAAUUCCUCCCGUCAGAGCCCAGAGAACCCCAUGGAAGAAGAAACAGGAAGAGUAUUUAAACCAGAGGGCAGAGAAGACAUCAGAAGAUUGUCUUCGUAAUUCAGCUUAGCAAAGAUCAUAUAAAUUAAGAGACUGAAGCAGCAACCAAUUAUACUCGUA